rfam:Schistosoma mattheei strain Denwood, Zambia genome assembly, scaffold: SMTD_scaffold0007270
ACCCAGCUGACGAGUCAUAAAUGGGAUGAAAUGCGCAUCUUGGAU